rnacentral:rRNA from 1 species
UAGGGAAUCUUCGGCAAUGGGGGGAACCCUGACCGAGCAACGCCGCGUGAGUGAAGAAGGUUUUCGGAUCGUAAAGCUCUGUUGUUAAGGAAGAACGAGUGUGAGAAUGGAAAGUUCAUGCUGUGACGGUACUUAACCAGAAAGGGACGGCUAACUACGUGCCAGCAGCCGCGGUAAUACGUAGGUCCCGAGCGUUGUCCGGAUUUAUUGGGCGUAAAGCGAGCGCAGGCGGUUAGAAAAGUCUGAAGUGAAAGGCAGUGGCUCAACCAUUGUAGGCUUUGGAAACUGUUUAACUUGGGUGCAGAAGGGGAGAGUGGAAUUCCAUGUGUGGCGGUGAAAUGCGUAGAUAUAUGGGGGAACACCGGUGGCGAAAGCGGCUCUCUGGUCUGUAACUGACGCUGAGGCUCGAAAGCGUGGGGAGCGAACAGG